GGUGACCUGAGUACAGAAAUCAACUAAAUCUCCAUCACUAAGUCACUGUGAUAUGACAUAUGAUUUUGGGGAAUUCCUUUUUAUUUUGAGGAAGACAUGAUCUGCAUUCUUCUAUGUUAUCUGACAGGAGUCUGUCUGGGUCUUGAGGUCCGUCAGUCUCACUCUGACAUUUUCACAAAACCAGGAGAUCAAGUGCAGAUCUUCUGCAGCCAUGAUAAAACUGACUACACACUGAUGCUGUGGUACCAGCGCUCACCAGGAGACACAACCAUAAAACUGAUUGGAUAUUUGAGGUAUGGAACUGCUACAAAGGAAGAGGCAUAUAAGGAACAUUUCAAUAUCACAGGAGAUUUAAGUGGAGAUAAAGCAAAGAAUGGCUCUCUUACAGUCCAAAUAACUGGACCUGAGCACAGUGCAGUUUAUUACUGUGCAGCCAGCUAUGCACAGUGACUCUCGCUUCU